GCUUACGGCCAUACCACCUUAGGCACGCCCGAUCUCGUCUGAUCUCGGAAGAUAAGCAGGGUCGGGGCUGGUUAGUACUUGGAUGGGUGACCGCCUGGGAAUACCAGGUGCUGUAAGCA
rnacentral:rRNA from 1 species